GGGCCGCUGGUCUAGUGGUAUGAUUCUCGCUUAGGGUUCACCCUGAAACAUAAAAACAUUGAAUUGUUUGCGAGAGGUCCCGGGUUCAAUCCCCGGGUGGCCCC